GACAUGUGGACAGUAUGGGAGUGAGAAUGUUGGCAUGAGUAGCGAGAUGUGGGUGAGAAUCCCACAGGCCGUAAACCCAAGGUUUCCAGGGGAAGGUUCGUCCGCCCUGGGUUAGUCGGGACCUAAGCUGAGGCCGAAAGGCGUAGGUGAUGGACAACAGGUUGAUAUUCCUGUACUACCGAUAACCGUUUGAGAGAAGGGAUGACACAGUAGGAUAAGCUAAGCACACUGUUGGUUAUGUGUGCCCAAGCAUUGAGGCAGUCAAAGUAGGCAAAUCCGCUUUGAUAAUGCUGGGAUGUGAUGGGGAGCGAAAUUUAGUAGCGAAGUAGCUGAUUUCACACUGUCAAGAAAAGUCUCUAUCGAGGUUAAAGGUACCCGUACCGCAAACCGACACAGGUGGGUGAGGAGAGUAUCCUAAGGCCAGCGAGAGAACUGUUGUUAAGGAACUCGGCAAAAUGACCCCGUAACUUAGGGAUAAGGGGUGCCACCAUCAGGUGGCCGCAGAGAAUAGGCCCAAGCGACUGUUUACCAAAAACAUAGGUUUCUGCUAAGUCGCAAGACGAUGUAUAGGAGCUGACGCCUGCCCGGUGCUGGAAGGUUAAGGGGAUCUGUUAGAGCAAUCGAAGCAGUGAACUUAAGCCCCAGUAAACGGCGGCCGUAACUAUAACGGUCCUAAGGUAGCGAAAUUCCUUGUCGGGUAAGUUCCGACCCGCACGAAAGGCGUAACGAUUUGGGCACUGUCUCAACAACAGACUCGGUGAAAUUGUAAUUCCGGUGAAGAUGCCGGAUACCUGCGACAGGACGGAAAGACCCCAUGGAGCUUUACUGUAGCUUGACAUUGGGUCUUGGUACUACAUGUACAGGAUAGGUGGGAGGCUUUGAAACCAGGACGCCAGUUUUGGCGGAGCCAUCCUUGGGAUACCACCCUUGUAGUACUGGGACUCUAACCAUAGGCCAUGAAUCUGGUCUUGGGACACUGUCAGGUGGGCAGUUUGACUGGGGCGGUCGCCUCCCAAAAGGUAACGGAGGCGCUCAAAGGUUCUCUCAGUACGGUCGGAAAUCGUACGUAGAGUGUAAAGGCAAAAGAGAGCUUGAUUGCAAGACAUACAGGUCGAGCAAGGAUGAAAAUCGGACUUAGUGAUCCGGUGGUUCUGCGUGGAAGGGCCAUCGCUCAACGGAUAAAAGCUACCCUGGGGAUAACAGGCUUAUCUCCCCCAAGAGUCCACAUCGACGGGGAGGUUUGGCACCUCGAUGUCGGCUCAUCACAUCCUGGGGCUGUAGUAGGUCCCAAGGGUUGGGCUGUUCGCCCAUUAAAGUGGUACGCGAGCUGGGUUCAGAACGUCGUGAGACAGUUCGGUCCCUAUCCGUCGCAGGCGUAGGAAAUUUGAGAAGACCUGUCCUUAGUACGAGAGGACCGGGAUGGACG
rnacentral:rRNA from 1 species